rnacentral:rRNA from 1 species
UACGGGGGGAGCAAGCGUUGUUCGGAUUUACUGGGCGUAAAGGGUGCGCAGGCGGCCGAGUGUGUGAGGCGUGAAAGCCCGGGGCUUAACCCCGGAAUUGCACCUCAAACUACACGGCUAGAGCAUUGGAGAGGGUAGCAGAAUUCAUGGUGUAGCAGUGAAAUGCGUAGAUAUCAUGAGGAAUACCAGAGGCGAAGGCGGCUACCUGGACAAUUGCUGACGCUCAGGCACGAAAGCGUGGGGAGCAAAAGGG